UACGGGGGGGGCAAGCGUUGUUCGGAAUUACUGGGCGUAAAGGGCGCGUAGGCGGUUCGAUAAGUCAGCUGUGAAAACCAUGGGCUUAACUCAUGGCCUGCAGUUGAGACUGUCGGGCUGGAGUGUGGAAGAGGAGAGUGGAAUUCCUGGUGUAGCGGUGAAAUGCGUAGAUAUCUGGAGGAACAUCGGUGGCGAAGGCGGCAUCCUGGACCGGUAUUGACGCUGAGGCGCGAAAGCCAGGGGAGCAAACGGG
rnacentral:rRNA from 1 species